rnacentral:rRNA from 1 species
UGAGGAAUAUUGGUCAAUGGGGGCAACCCUGAACCAGCCAAGUCGCGUGAAGGAUGAAGGUCUUAUGGAUUGUAAACUUCUUUUACACGGGAAUAAAGUGGGGGACGUGUCCCCCUUUGCAUGUACCGUGUGAAUAAGGAUCGGCUAACUCCGUGCCAGCAGCCGCGGUAAUACGGAGGAUCCGAGCGUUAUCCGGAUUUAUUGGGUUUAAAGGGUGCGCAGGCGGGAUGUUAAGUCGGCGGUGAAAUUUUGCAGCUCAACUGUAAAAGUGCCUUCGAUACUGGCCUCCUUGAGUGUGGAUGAAGUAGGCGGAAUUUGUGGUGUAGCGGUGAAAUGCUUAGAUAUCACGAGGAACUCCGAUUGCGCAGGCAGCUUACUAAGCCACAACUGACGCUCAUGCACGAAAGCGUGGGGAUCAAACA